rnacentral:rRNA from 1 species
GAUCCUGGCUCAGGAUGAACGCUAGCUACAGGCUUAACACAUGCAAGUCGAGGGGCAGCAUGGUCUUAGCUUGCUAAGGCCGAUGGCGACCGGCGCACGGGUGAGUAACACGUAUCCAACCUGCCGUCUACUCUUGGACNGCCUUCUGAAAGGAAGAUUAAUACAAGAUGGCAUCAUGAGUCCGCAUGUUCACACGAUUAAAGGUAUUCCGGUAGACGAUGGGGAUGCG